AGUAGGAGAACCUGAGUUGGAAUCUCCAGCACCCAUGUAUAAACAGGCAUGACAGAGAGAGAGAGAGAGAGAGAGAGAGAGAGAGAGAGAGAGAGAGAGAGAGAGAGAGAGAGAGAGAGAGAGAUCCUGAGCUCACACAGCCAGUCUAGCCAAACAGCAAGUUUCAGAUCUGAUGACUCAGUCUCAAGGCAACAACUUAGAGGGUGAUAAAGGAAGACUCCAGACUCCAAAUGUCCUGCACACGUAUGCAUGUAUAUGCAUAGUUACAUGCCACACACACACACACACACACACACACACACGAACAUAUCAAUCAUUGUAAGUAAGGUUUGGGGCUAGAGACAGCUCAGCAAUAGAGUUAUUUCCCUGGUAUGCUCAGGCCCUGACUUUGUGCCCAGCACGUCACAAUCUUAGUUCAUUGCUGAGAUUACAGCAAGGGCCAUUGGAAGAAGAAUGUGGAUGCAAACUCCAGUCCUGCUUCCUAUCAGCUGUUAGAAGGUGCCCAGAUUUCCCUGGAGGCUAAAGCAGGGACAAAGUGGAAAACAAACUAGCUUGCCCGGCCUAGAUUUCCAGCGUGCUGACCACAGAGUAGAGCAAACAUGAAGUUCACGAUGUGGAGGAAAAUUCCAACAGAACAGAGUCCAGGACUUCCUGUGGCCUUAAAGCUAGAAUUGUUCACUCUGCCCAGAGCAACGGGACUCGAGCCAUAGAACUUGCAGCUGUUACUAGAGUUGUGUGGGCAGCGUGCACAACAUCUACAUGUCUCCCACUGC
rnacentral:lncRNA from 1 species